rnacentral:rRNA from 1 species
AACGAACGCUGGCGGCGCGCCUAAUACAUGCAAGUCGAGCGAGAAGACGUAGCAAUACGUUUGUAAAGCGGCGAACGGGUGAGGAAUACAUGGGUAACCUACCCUCGAGUGGGGAAUAACUAGCCGAAAGGUUAGCUAAUACCGCGUACGCUCCUCGGACUUCGGUUCAGGGAGGAAAGCGAUACCGUGGGUAUCGCGCUCUUGGAUGGGCUCAUGUCCUAUCAGCUUGUUGGUGAGGUAACGGCUCACCAAGGCUUCGACGGGUAGCUGGUCUGAGAGGACGAUCAGCCACACUGGCACUGCGACACGGGCCAGACUCCUACGGGAGGCAGCAGUAAGGAAUAUUGCGCAAUGGGCGAAAGCCUGACGCAGCGACGCCGCGUGAGGGAUGAC